CUUUUAUUUACCAACUAAAAUAUAUAUAUAAAAUAAAAUUGGACAUCCAGUGGCUGAGAUACGAAAACCUAUCCUCUGCUAUUCUUUUCUUGCAGCAAUCUAUUCUUCACCUCAAAGUGAAUCCAAAUAAUUAAUUUGUUUAGAGGCUUCUUCUCCUCAGCAGCUCAGCUUCUGUCUCUCCAUGGAUACCCUGUCAAGCCCCGUACCUUCCUUGAACAUCUCCAGUUCACUUCAUUCGACACCUCGUGAAUUCUAUCAUUUCAAGAAUCCCAAAUCAUCUCAUCAUCAUUUUCUUCCUCCAAAUCCCUAUUUUUGUUAUUCUGUUGCUAAACCUGCAAAU
rnacentral:lncRNA from 1 species